rnacentral:rRNA from 1 species
CGUAGUUGACCUGCCCUGAAGAGCGGGAUAACGUCUCGAAAGGGAUGCUAAUACCGCAUAAGCACACAGAGGUUAGAGGCUCAGGGUGAAAAGGGCGCUAUCGGAAGAUAGCGGCCGCUUCAGGAGGGGACUGCGGCCCAUCAGCCAGCUGGUGAGGUAGAAGCUCACCAAGGCGAAGACGGGUAGGGGGCCUGAGAGGGUGGUCCCCCACACGGGCACUGAGAGACGGGCCCG